AGUGAACGCUGGCGGUAGGCCUAACACAUGCAAGUCGAACGGCAGCACAGUAAGAGCCUGCUCUUACGGGUGGCGAGUGGCGGACGGGUGAGGAAUACAUCGGAAUCUACUUUUUCGUGGGGGAUAACGUAGGGAAACUUACGCUAAUACCGCAUACGACCUACGGGUGAAAGCAGGGGAUCUUCGGACCUUGCGCGAUUGAAUGAGCCGAUGUCGGAUUAGCUAGUUGGCGGGGUAAAGGCCCACCAAGGCGACGAUCCGUAGCUGGUCUGAGAGGAUGAUCAGCCACACUGGAACUGAGACACGGUCCAGACUCCUACGGGAGGCAGCAGUGGGGAAUAUUGGACAAUGGGCGCAAGCCUGAUCCAGCCAUACCGCGUGGGUGAAGAAGGCCUUCGGGUUGUAAAGCCCUUUUGUUGGGAAAAAAAAGCAGCAGGUUAAUACCCCGCUGUUCUGACGGUACCCAAAGAAUAAGCACCGGCUAACUUCGUG
rnacentral:rRNA from 1 species